UACGAAGGGGGCUAGCGUUGCUCGGAAUUACUGGGCGUAAAGGGCGCGUAGGCGGCCACUGCAAGUCGGUUGUGAAAUCUCCGGGCUUAACCCGGAAAGGUCAAUCGAUACUGCAGGGCUAGAGUGCAGGAAGGGGCAACUGGAAUUCUCGGUGUAGCGGUGAAAUGCGUAGAGAUCAGGCAGAACGACCUGGGGCGAAGGCGGCCAGGCUGGGCCGUCCCUGACGCUGGAGGCGCGAAGGCGUGGGGAGCGAACGGG
rnacentral:rRNA from 1 species